GGGUCUACCCUAAACUGAAUUCUUCCCUUUAGUGAGCAUUAGGGUUUUAAACCCUAAGCAUUAGGGUUUUAAACCCUAAACUGAACUUUUUCCCUGUAGUCAGCAUUAGGGUUUUAAACCCUAAACUGAACUUCUUCUCUUUAAUCAGCGUUAGGGUUUUAAACCCUAAACUAAACUUUUCCCUUUAGUCAGCAUUAGAGUUUUAAACCCUAAACUGAACUUUUCCCUGUAGUCAGCAUUAGGGUUUUAAACCCUAAACUGAACUCUUUCCUUUAGUCAGCUUUAGGGUUUAAAACCCUAAACUGAACUUUUUCCCUUUAAUCAGUAUUAGGGUUUUUAAACCCUAAACUGAACUUUCCCUUUAGUCAGCAUUAGGGUUUUAAAAACCCUAAACUGGACUUUCCCUUUAGUCAGCAUUAGGGUUUUAAACCCUAAACUAAACUUUGUCCCUAGUUAGUCAGCAUUAGGGUUUUAAACCCUAAACUGAACUUU
rnacentral:lncRNA from 1 species